UACGUAGGGGGCAAGCGUUAUCCGGAAUCACUGGGCGUAAAGGGUGCGUAGGCGGCUGAGUAAGUCAGAGGUGAAAGGCUACGGCUUAACCGUAGUAAGCCUUUGAAACUGCUUAGCUUGAGUGCAGGAGAGGUAAGUGGAAUUCCUAGUGUAGCGGUGAAAUGCGUAGAUAUUAGGAGGAACACCAGUGGCGAAGGCGACUUACUGGACUGUAACUGACGCUGAGGCACGAAAGCGUGGGGAGCAAACAGG
rnacentral:rRNA from 1 species